CCAUGAAUCUGGUCUUGGGACACUGUCAGGUGGGCAGUUUGACUGGGGCGGUCGCCUCCCAAAAGGUAACGGAGGCGCUCAAAGGUUCUCUCAGUACGGUCGGAAAUCGUACGUAGAGUGUAAAGGCAAAAGAGAGCUUGAUUGCAAGACAUACAGGUCGAGCAAGGAUGAAAAUCGGACUUAGUGAUCCGGUGGUUCUGCGUGGAAGGGCCAUCGCUCAACGGAUAAAAGCUACCCUGGGGAUAACAGGCUUAUCUCCCCCAAGAGUCCACAUCGACGGGGAGGUUUGGCACCUCGAUGUCGGCUCAUCACAUCCUGGGGCUGUAGUAGGUCCCAAGGGUUGGGCUGUUCGCCCAUUAAAGUGGUACGCGAGCUGGGUUCAGAACGUCGUGAGACAGUUCGGUCCCUAUCCGUCGCAGGCGUAGGAAAUUUGAGAAGACCUGUCCUUAGUACGAGAGGACCGGGAUGGACGUACCUCUGGUGUACCAGUUGUUCUGCCAAGGGCAUGGCUGGGUAGCUAUGUACGGAAUGGAUAAGCGCUGAAAGCAUCUAAGCGCGAAGCCAACUUCAAGAUAAGAUUUCCCACCGCAAGGGUAAGACCCCAGAAAGACUAUCUGGUUGAUAGGUCGAAGGUGUAAGUGCAGCAAUGUAUUUAGCUUAUCGAUACUAAUAGGUCGAGGACUUGACCAAUAUU
rnacentral:rRNA from 1 species